AUAUUCCAUGGUGAAAAGAGGCAGAGCGCUCUCUGGGUUCUCUUCUAUAAGGUCACUAAUUUCAUUCAUGAAGGCUCUACCCUCAGGACCUAAUCACUUCUCAAAGUCCCCACAGUUUAAUGCCAUCACAUUUAAG